AUAAAAAAGAUUAUUAAUUGCCAAGUUGGUAACUCAAAAUGAAAACUUCAAAAUGGCGAAUGAAAAAAAAAUUUUAAUUCGUGUCGCAGUAGCAAAUGUGACAAAUGUCAUCGAAAGUUAAUGUGGGCAGUAGGCUCCAUGAACCUUUUCUCAUUUUACGUCGAGCAGCAGUUGUGAAAACAUCAAAAAUAAAUUGAAAAAUUUAAAAAACUUAAAUUGAAACUGGUGAAGUGAAAAAGUAAAGUGAAGAAAAAAAAGUGUAGUUUUCUAAAACUAAUAAGUUAAUUAAAAAGAUUAUUAAUUGCCAAGUUGGUAACUCAAAAUGAAAACUUCAAAAUGGCGAAUAAAAAAAAUUUUUAAUUCGUGUCGCAGUAGCAAAUGUGACAAAUGUCAUCGAAAGUUAAUGUGGGCAGUAGGCUCCAUCAACCUUUUCUCAUUUUACAUCGAGCAGCAAUUGUGAAAACAUCAAAAAUAAAUUUAAAAAACUUAAAUUAAAACUGGUGAAGUGAAAAAGUAAAGUGAAGAAAAAAUAAUAUAGAAAACUUGAACUAAAAGUGGUGAAGUGAAAAAGUAAAAAAAAGAAAGAAAAGAAUGUUGUUGCCGACUGCAAAAUUCUAAAUGAAAACUUCAAAAUGGCGAAUGAAAAAAAAUUUUUAAUUCGUGUCGCAGUAGCAAAUGUGACAAAUGUCAUCGAAAGUUAAUGUGGGCAGUAGGCUCCAUCAACCUUUUCUCAUUUUACGUCGAGCAGCAAUUGUGAAAACAUCAAAAAUAAAUUUAAAAAAUAUAAAUAUAAUUUAGAAAACUUGAACUAAAAGUAGUGAAGUAAAAAAGUAAAGUGAAGAAAAAAAAUUGUAGCAUGUGGAAAUAUACCGCUGGAGCCGCGUGAAGAACCGUACGUGAGCUGAUACCUCGAACGGACUGAGUUAUCGUGCGUCCUCCGGUUGUAGCACCCCCGAAUCGUCCAGGACGCCGUGCUUCAUCGGAUAAAUCAGAUACGUUCGAAAAAACCAAAGCGGCGUGGACGACUCGCCACCAAAAAGCAUGCGCAGCCACCGCCAAAAGCUGCUGCAGCAAAUGAAUAUGCAAAGGUGACAGCAACAUCUUUGGCAACAUCUACAGCAACAUCUUUGGGAACAUCUUUGGCAACAUCUACAGCAACAUCUUUGGCAACAUCUACAGCAACAUCUUUGGCAACAUCUACAGCAACAUCAUUGGCAACAUCUACGGCAACAUCUUUGGCAGCAUCUUUGGCAACAUUUACAGCAAUAUUUUCGGCAACAUCUACAGCAACAUUUUGGCAGCAUCUUUUGCAACAUCUACAGCAACAUCUUUUGCAACAUCUUUGGCAACAUCUACAGCAACAUGUAUUGGAACAUAUAUAGCAACAUUUAACGCAACCUUUUACGCAACAUCUAACGCAACAUCAGCCACACAUUUAUGUACCUAACCUCAAUGCAAAUUCUGCUGCUGCACCACAACCUCGUGGAGCACUCCCACCCAUGUUGCGUGCAGCAACAUCGCAGAACUUAUAGCGCAAUCGUGGCGUAUCUGUCGCACUAGUUGGCGCACCAAGAUUAGGCGCCGCAGCAGCAAAUGCAACACAGAAAUCGGUCGCAACAACAGCCAAUGGCACACCGAUAAUGCGACCAACAACAUCUUGUGCAACAUUUGGCAGAUGACAAUUCAUUGGUCCAUCGGGACAUCAGAUGAUGCCAAGCUCAAGGAUGCCAGCAUAUGUCCCGCAACAGCAGCAGCAGGGCAUCAAGCGGAAACUGGAUGCGACUAUGCCAGCUGGCGAAACAACAGCGGAUAUGGUGCCUAGAGCAGAUAAUAAUCCAAUGGAUGUGGGGACGGUGAGAAAGAAGUUGGACAACUAUGAAUAUCGCACCGCAUUGGAUUUUGCAGACGAUGUCCGUUUGAUAUUCCCAAAUUGCUUCAAAUACAAACAACAAUCCCAAGCAACUUCCCAUUGUUGGCGACGCACAUAAGUUGCAGACCAUGCAUGAUGCCGCCCUCCAAUUUUAGGAACAUGAUUCGAGCGCCACAAAUGAUUCGAGAUGCGGUGCCAAACGGAAUCCCUGUUCCAAGACCUUAAGGCUAUGACAGUGAGAUCAGCAACCGCAACAGCCACAGUCGAAUGGUCAGUCCUUAUCCAUAGGGUCAACAGCGCAGCAGCGAAAUCAGCAACACUAACAACAUCAAUGGCAGUAAUAGUGGAAUGCUUGGUCCAUAUAUACAAAGCGGUUACAGAGGGUUAUAGCAGUGAGAUCAGCAACAAUAUUAGCAACAUCAGCAACAGCAGCAUCCAAAUGGCUUGUCUUUUCUUAGCUCAGAGCAGUGACGCCAGUAAACAUCAGCAGCGAUUCUGAAAAUCAAAAUGAACGCAAAAGGCUGGUCAAAGCCAAGCUAAAGAAGCUGACGUACACAAAUCUGAAGCAAGAGGGCCAGAAGGUAUCGCAAAGCACAAAAAGAAGCAGUUACAAGAAGCUGGAGUUGCAGCAUUGGCAGCAACCACUCAGUAUAUAUAUUCUUGAUCAGUGUCAACAGCCAAAACGAUCCAGCCAUGUCCGUCUGUCCGUCUGUUCCUAUGAACACCUAGGUCUCAGAGACUAUGAGAGAUAGAGCUAUAAUUUUUUUCGUGGUAUAUUUGCACGCAGAUCAAGUUUGUUUAAAAUUUUUGCCACGCCCACUUCCACCCCCGCAAAUCUAUAAAAAUCGAAUAAUUUUAAAGCUAGAGCUGCGCAUUUUGGUGUAUAAAAUAAUAACUAUAAUAUUUAUGAUUUCUAAUUUGAUUGCGAUCAGAUAAAAUUUGUAGAAGUUAUUGCAGAAAUACUUUUAUAUGCGAAAAACGAGGUGAAUUCGCUCUCGCUUCGCCGUAAUUCUAAGAACUUAAUUUUAACAACCUCAUUCAACAUUGAUGCUCUUAAACUUAUUUAACCAACUGCCCCAACAGCUAGAAUCGCAAUUUUUGGUACACACAUUAUUAACUAUAGUAUUUAAAAUUUGUGAAUACUUGGUUGCCAUCACACAAGAAUUUUAAAAGUCAUUUAGGAAAUUGUUUUGUAUGGGCUUUCGCUAACAAUCUGGUAUAUUUUGCACGCUGUGGUAUAUUUAAAAUGUAGUACUGUAUUAAUAUACCUAAACUAACAUUUGGAAUAUUUUUAAUACUUGGAGAUAAUUGUAUAUUUUAAAAUGAACACCGCAUAAAUGCAAACCAUUUAUUUGAAAUGGGUAGCGGGUAACUCACAGUGGAGCACAUUCUACUAUAGCUUAUUUACUUGUUGCCAUACAAAAGUGUCUCUCAAAUAAAUUUUCCACUCUUAUUUGAUGACAACCACAUUUUCAGGAA